rnacentral:snRNA from 1 species
ACAUGUGGCAUAAGUCUCAUU